UGCAGAGGCCUCGAGCGUUAGGCGGAAUCACUGGGCUUAAAGCGUGUGUAGGCGGAGUGCUAAGUACCUUGUGAAAUCCCACAGCUCAACUGUGGAAUUGCUUGGUAUACUGGCAUUCUUGAGCCAUCUAGGGGCGAGCGGAACAAAUGGUGGAGCGGUGAAAUGCGUAGAUAUCAUUUGGAACGCCAACGGUGAAAACAGCUCGCUGGGGAUGUGCUGACGCUGAGACACGAAAGCCAGGGGAGCAAACGGG
rnacentral:rRNA from 1 species